CGGGAAUUUUCCACAAUGGACGAAAGUCUGAUGGAGCAACGCCGCGUGAACGAUGAAGGUCUUCGGAUUGUAAAGUUCUGUUGUCAGGGACGAACAAGUACCGUUCGAACAGGGCGGUGCCUUGACGGUACCUGACGAGAAAGCCACGGCUAACUACGUGCCAGCAGCCGCGGUAAUACGUAGGUGGCAAGCGUUGUCCGGAUUUAUUGGGCGUAAAGCGCGCGCAGGCGGCUAUGUAAGUCUGGUGUUAAAGCCCGGGGCUCAACCCCGGUUCGCAUCGGAAACUGCAGAGCUUGAGUGCAGAAGAGGAAAGCGGUAUUCCACGUGUAGCGGUGAAAUGCGUAGAGAUGUGGAGGAACACCAGUGGCGAAGGCGGCUUUCUGGUCUGUAACUGACGCUGAGGCGCGAAAGCGUGGGGAGCAAAC
rnacentral:rRNA from 1 species